AAUGCAGUUGCCCGUCUCCACAUCCCAGACUCGGAUGGAGGUGUCCAGAGAUCCACUCACCACAUGGAUGCCGUCGAACUACGAGAAAGUCCUGCCAGAGUGUGGUGAGAACAGGCACAAGCAUGAAAUUAAUUCCUUUCGCCUUUCAAUGCCUGGAAGUGACGCUUUGACUUUAUGAAUGAACAAGAUGAUCUUUUGGGUGAGUAAAGUGUAGUUUGAAUGCUUUGCCUGGUUUGUAUUUCACUCAAUGUCGGAUGAGAUACCCAAGUUUAACAAGCAUCUUGUGUGAACACAAGUGCAAACGACAAGGCAAAUACAAGUGUAAAUGUGGCUGUACUUUGGACAAAUCCUUACCUUUUCUCAUGGAGAUGCAUGCAGCGAACAGUGGAGGUGUGUCCAUACAAGGUGUGUAUGCAUUCUCCAGUCUCAGCAUUCCAGACUUUCAGUGUUCGGUCUGUAGAGCCACUGAUGAUGAUAUUGUCCCUCAUCUGUGAUGACCAGACUCCACCUGUGUGCCCAACCAGUGUCCUCAAACACUGAAAUGAAAUAUUUUGCUUAGUUACCCUUUUGACAGAGUUGAAUGGAAACUUAAGAAAAAGGAAUUUAGGAAGUAACAGGAGCCUCACAGCAAGAGCCAGAAGACCCAUGGAGGCUACUGUGUGAUUGAACAAGAAAUUCCCAUUGUUUAUAUAUAUUCAUCGAAUUCCUCUCUCCAUCACUGAUACUUCAACUACAAAGAAUUUUCCCUAUAAUCUUCCCCCUAAUAACCUAAACUGUCUUUUCAGAUUUCUCAAUACAGGGAGUGUUUUUCAGCCUUGAGUCAUUUUCUCCAGGCAUUUUUCUGAGUCACCGCAGGUUUUCUGAUAGAAGUCUGAAGCACAAGUGUUAGAGCUGCAGAGAGCAUUCACUCAGUAGUUUUACCACCAAUGUAUAAACCAUAAACUCCUUUUGUAUUGUUUGUUUAUCCAAGAAACACUGCAUUCUGUAAGCCAGAGCUAUGGCACCAAUACUGCAAAA